AGCGAACGUUGGCGAUGCGUCUUAAGCAUGCAAGUCGAGCGGGCUUAUUCGGGCAACUGGAUAAGUUAGCGGCGAACUGGUGAGUAACACGUAGGUAAUCUGCCGUGAAGUGGGGGAUAACCCAUGGAAACAUGGACUAAUACCGUAUAUACUCUUGCUACAUAAGUAGAGUAGAGGAAAGUUUUUUCGCUUCACGAUGAGCCUGCGGCCUAUUAGCCUGUUGGUAGGGUAAUGGCCUACCAAAGCUACGAUAGGUAGCCGACCUGAGAGGGUGACCGGCCACAUUGGGACUGAGAUACGGCCCAGACUCCUACGGGAGGCAGCAGCUGAGAAUCUUCCACAAUGGACGAAAGUCUGAUGGAGCGACAUCGCGUGAGGGAUGAAGGCCUUCGGGUUGUAAACCUCGGAAAUUAUCGAAGAAUGAGUGACAGUAGAUAAUGUAAGCCUCGGCUAACUACGUGCCAGCAGCCGCGGUAAUACGUAGGAGGCAAACGUUGCUCGGAUUUACUGGGCGUAAAGGGUGAGUAGGCGGAUUUAUAAGUCUAAGGUGAAAGACCGAAGCUCAACUUCGGGAACGCCUCGGAUACUGUAGAUCUUGGAUAUUGCAGGGGAUGAUGGAAUUCUCGGUGUAGCGGUGGAAUGCGCAGAUAUCGAGAGGAACACCUAUAGCGAAGGCAGUCAUCUGGGCAUUUAUCGACGCUGAAUCACGAAAGCUAGGGGAGCAAACAGGCUUAGAUACCCUGGUAGUCCUAGCCGUAAACGUUGUACACUAGGUGCUUCUAUUUAAAUAGGAGUGCCGUAGCUAACGUCUUAAGUGUACCGCCUGAGGAGUAUGCCCGCAAGGGUGAAACUCAAAGAAAUUGACGGGUCCCCGCACAAGUGGUGGAGCAUGUGGUUUAAUUCGAUGAUACGCGAAAAACCUUACCUGGGUUUGAAUUGUUAGAUGAAUGAUUUAGAGAUAAGUCAGACCGCAAGGACGUUUAACAUAGGUGCUGCAUGCCUGUCGUCAGCUCGUGUCGUGAGAUGUUGGGUUAAGUCCCGCAACGAGCGCAACCCUCACCCUCUGUUGCUACCGAGUAAUGUCGAGUACUCUUAGGGGACUGCCUACGUUCAAGUAGGAGGAAGGUGGGGAUGAUGUCAAGUCCUCAUGGCCCUUAUGUCCAGGGCUACACACGUGCUACAAUGGCAAGUACAAAGAGAAGCAAGACCGCGAGGUGGAGCAAAACUCAAAAAAGUUGCCUCAGUUCGGAUUGGAGUCUGAAACUCGACUCCAUGAAGUUGGAAUCACUAGUAAUCGUAGAUCAGAACGCUACGGUGAAUACGUUCCCGGGGAUUGUACACACCGCCCGUCACGCCAUCGGAGUUGGUUUUACCUGAAGCCGUUAGCCUAACCGUAAGGAGGGCGGCGUCGAAGGUGGGACUGAUGAUGAGGGUGAAGUCGUAACAAGGCAGCCGUACCGGAAGG
rnacentral:rRNA from 1 species